AUUAUGCCUCUGGCUUGUAUAGUCAUUUUUUUACAUAAAUAAUAUUUUAGUAUUUAAAACAUUAUUUGAAUUAAUUUUUACGAUGCAAUUUAAUUUUUAUAUAUAAGAUUAAAAAGGCUUUAUCCGUACUGCAGAAUCAUCAUAGAUUUUAUCUUCCAUCGAUACUUCGUUCUUGCUGGAAUUUUUCCAGUACUUCUGAAUUGAUUGUAAUUUUUAUACGGUCCACGACUUUUUUUUACAAUUGCUCUUUUUGUUAAACUCAUUUUAAAAAAUGAUUGUACCAUACUUGAAAAAAAUAAUUAUGUGAUACAUAUAUGUUUGAGUUAUCAAAUAUAAAAUAAACAAAUGAGUAUUCAUUGCUAUAUUAACUUUGUUUAUUUAUCUAUAAUAUAUCUUGAUAAAAAAAGUUUUUUACUUUCAUUAAAUACUUCUAAAUAAAGUAUUGAUUGAUCGUAGUAAUACUUCCUAAAAUAUUUCUUAACUUUCGUGUAUCAUUUAAUCAAAGUCUCUUUAUUAUUUAACUCGUUUAUUAUAUAAGUUUAUGAUAAUCGUUUGUGCCAAAUUAUCUUCUUCGAAAUGUUGAAAAAUGACAAGAAACAGUUAUAUGCACUCGUGCAAUGGAUAGGGGGGAAUCAUGAUAAGACUUAUACUCCUGGUAUCCCGAUCGAAUGGAUCAUGGAUUUCGAUUUACAGCGCUAUUUGACAGAAAAAGAAAAUUUAGAAGAAAGCUAUAUUGUUCAGUGGCGACGAGGAAAUAUAGAAACAUGGAAAAAUUAUGAUGCCUAUGUAAUCGAGGUCUCGCAUUCCUGUAAAAAUUUAGAAAGAGAAAUAGUAAGAUUGGAAGGGAUAGUUUCUCCACUGAAAGUUAAAAGAAAUGGUCAAAAUAAUUUCGUUCCUAAACGAGCCAAAACAUCUACUAUUGACAGUACUAAUAAAAGAACUCUUGAAAAUGAUUACCAUACAGAAUCAGAAAUUAUAUCGAUAAUUUGUAUCAUGAAUUCGAAAACUAGAUCAUCAACUAUUAUUAUAUUAAUACAUACCCUGAUUCAGAAAUGUAAUUUCGAAUGAUUCAAUACAUGUUGGAGUGUAUACCUAUAUAUAGUCAAUUUUGCCCACUUUGAAUUGUUUUGGAUCGUGUUUGAAUUAUUCCAAAUUAGAUUUCUGAAUCAGGGUAAUUAUUUGUAAUUUAUUAGCCGAUUCAAGUUCAUACAAAAAAGCCUAAAAUUGUUAAAGAAAAUCGAAAGAAAGAUUGUUCCUCUGUUAAAAGAAACAACAAUAGUUACGAUAAAAGCAGUAGCAGUGAUAACCAUGAUAUUUUCAUUGAAGAUGAUGAUAAUGACACGGAUUUUAUUACGACGAGCAAUAAAGUUUUGAAAGAUAACCAACAGAUUAAAGAUGGUCUAAAUUUAUUAUUUAAUGAAAUACAGGAAAUUAAAGUUGCUCAGAAUGAACUAAAACGAGAUUAUGGCAAAGCAAGAAAUCCAAAUAAUGCUGAGAAUGAACAAGUGGAAAUUGGUUAUCCAGGUAGUAAUGUUCAUGUUACACGCCAACAGUAUGAAACUGCAAAUAGUCGCGACAAUUUUAGCAAAAUGACGAUUUCUCUUAUCAACGCCUUAUUUUCAAAAGAGACCCUCAUUCAAAGUAAUUGCUACGGUGGAAAGAGUAGAAUUCAAAAAGAUGCUCCAACUUGACCUGGAUUAAAUCCAAUAAUUAUUGAUGCCGUGAAUGGUACUAAUAUCACGUCCAAAGUAUGGAUUUAUGUAAGAAUCUAUAGGAAUUAAUGCUGGAGUUUAUGGAUUUAUAUAAGAAUCCAUGUAGGAAACCAUGGGUACCUCGAUCCCCAUAUGAGAAUCCAUGUAGAAAACUAUGUGCAUCUGAUAUCCCAUGUGGAAACCGUAUAGGAAACUAGAAACUGUCAAAAACAAGUUUCCUCGUGAAUACAAGCGUGGUUUAUUUGGGAUGGCCAUAAAUAAUUAUUUGAAUGAUUUGCGUCGUUUGCAAAAGCAGUCCAAUAUUAUUGACGAUGGUGAUAAUGUUAAUGAUAAUAAGAGUAAUGAUGGAGACUCUUCAUAAAACUAUUUAUAAUUAUUUAAUAUUCCACUGUUACAAUGUUAUUAUAAUUAUAAUUUCUGAUCUGAGUUCUUAAAAAAAAUAAAAACAAAAAAAAA